rnacentral:lncRNA from 1 species
AUUCUUCAAGACGAGGGAAGAAGGACCCUGAAGCGGGUAGGGCCAUCAGAAUGCCACUCUCACCCAGAAGGAGUCCAUGGACCAUGUAUCAGAUGCAAAAUUCUCAGCUGGAAUAUUGAUUAAAAAAUAAAACUGGCAAUAACUAGAAAAAAAAUCACAAUAAGGAAUCUGUCCACCCAGCCAUCACUCACCCAUCCGUCCAUCCACCCAUGACUAACCCAUCUGUAAAUCCACCCAUCACUCACCCAUCUGUACAUCCACCCAUCUACCCAUCCAUCUGUCCAUGCACCCAUGACUCACCCAUCUGUCUACCCAGCCAUCACUCACCACUUGGUCCAUCCAUCCAUCACUCACCCAUCCGUCCAUCCACCCACUACUCACCCAUCCUUCCAUCCACCCAUCACUCACCCAUCUAUCCAUCCACCCAUCACUCACCACUUGGUCCAUCCACCCAUCACUCACCCAUCCGUCCAUCCACCCAUUACUCACCCAUCUGUUCAUCCACCCAUCACUCACCCAUCCUUCCAUCCACCCAUCUCUCACCAUCUGUCCAUCCACCCAUCACUCACCCAUCCGUCCAUCCACUAUCACUCACCCAUCCUUCCAUCCACCCAUCUCUCACCCAUCCGUCCAUCCACCCGUCACUCACCCAUCCGUCCAUCCACCAUCACUCACCCAUCCUUCCAUCCACCCAUCACUCAUCCGUCUAUCCACCCAUCACUCACCCCUCAGUCCAUCCUCUCAUCACUCACCCUGUCCAUCCAUCCAUCACUCACCCAUCUGUCCAUCCACCCAUCUACCCAUCCAUCCAUCC